UCCAUCUGCCAGGAAUUACUGAUGAGAGAGACUCUCACGUGCCCCUUCCCCUGCCAAUCAAAAGUGUUUCUGUCUUCUGCACCUGCCUGGGGGUGGGAGGGGGGUUGGUAGUGCUGCGGAACGUCAGUCAACCGUCUUGUUGGUGCUGCCCCCCAGAGGCAGUGCUAGGUGGCACAUGUGGGUCUCAGUACCUGCGCAGCUUUGGGGGAAUCCUGUCCACAGAGGGGCGAGUCUCAAGUAGCAGAACUGACCAGAGGGGCUGCUUACCCGACAGCUUUAAAAUUUUAGAGUUUAGUUGAUUACUUUUAUGCAGCUUGCUGCAUUUGAACAUUUAUUUAGAAUCAGUAUAUUUAUUUUUAGUGAUAUGCUUUAACAACUGUUUUUAGGGCCAGUAGAAUUUUAUUGCCUCUCCAGUCUCCAGUGAUGCCAGUUUAUAUGAAGUUCCAUGGUUUUGGCCUGUAUGUACCUGCAUUUCUUAUAGACAGGGUCUGCAUCAGCCAAGGUCCAAGCAGGAGAGCAAACCCAUGCAGUGAUUUGAAGAGGAAAACUAAUGUCAGGAACUGUAAACUCUGAUAGGGGGUUGGCAUGAUAAGGCAUCGAUUAGUAAGGAGUAAAGCUAACUUUAAGGAAGAAAUGACCAGAUACGAGGGGCAGCCUGCUUCUAGGGCUGGGACACAGCAGUCAUCUUGGUGGCCUUUGAUGGGUUCCCCGGGUCACUGUAGUCAUGAUGACAGCCAUGGUUUAUUGAGGGCACUAUGUGCCAGGCUGUGUCCUGACCCCUUCUGUGGAGUAUUUAGCUCCACCCUACAGAUCCGACCCUGUGGGAAAUUGUGACUCCGUGAUUGGCCCUGCUGGGAGGGCGGAGUAGCUGGCACCUGGUCUUUCCUUGGUCUCCAUGUGGUGGCUCUGGAGUGGCCUUCUGCUCAAUGGAGGCUCUGGGCUUGUGUGUGGCUGGAGGGGGGUGGCCUGUGAGGCACCCCUCCCUGUGUGUGAUCCUCUGUGGCAGCCCAAGCAGAAGCCUGGUGAGCUGGGCUCCAGGUCUUGAUCAGAGGCCUUCAGUGCCAUCCCAGAGUGUUGGAGGAGUGUGCAGGUGGCAGGGUCCUCAGCAAGGGCUUGUCCUCGAGUCCCCAGGACCCCUCUGACCCACCUGUCUGGUCCAGGGAGGGGGUGGGGAGAAUGGGGUUUCUUGGCUCCCGAGUUCAUUAGGAAGGCUGCGAGUCGGGGGAUGGAGGGUGGACCGCUCACCCCAACACAGUCCUUUUUCUUUGUCCCCUUAGUUUUUCCUGUAUUAAUGUGGGUCUCCUGGUUCUCCUCAGAGGCAUCAGGAGUCCCAGGGCCCUUUUCUAGGGAGGGGCUUGGGGUCUGCGAUGUGACAUGGCCCACAUGUCACAUGUCACAUCAUGGUCUCUGGUCUGACUCUGGCCUUGAGGCUUGGUGUGACCAUCUGGUCCUGGCCAGUGUGGUGUCCCAUGCUCAGCUGUGCGGGGCCACGAGCCAUAAGCCUCCGUUGUCUUGUGACUUAUCCUGGCUGUGUCUUCAGUGCCUACACGCUGGGUACCCCUUGUGCCCCCCCUUGCUAAUUCGCUUGACUCUCCCAUGAGGGAUUCAUCUUGACUGCUAGCAUUCUGUGACAGUGAUGGCUCUGCCGUCGUCGAGGUGAGAAACGUGAAUUGGAAUAUUAAUCCCCGGGGCUCAGGCGCGUGGUUCCUGUGCCAAGCCAUGAUGGACGAGGGAGAUGCAGUGGCCUCCUUCCUCCUCUGCUUCCUCCAGCGGUUCUUGGGGAUGUGAGCAGGGUUUGGUGGUCCUUGUCACCCAUCUGGCUCUCUGGCAGGUCCUGGCCUGCUGCACCUUGUGCCCACGGGGAAAAGAGAAUUGGCUGGAACCCGCUCUUAUGGUUGGUGUGGCGCAGGGACGUUAGCUGUCCAGUCAGCCAGUGAUUUAAUAAUCUCUGAGCCAAUAUUUAAGAACUGGAAGAUUUAAUAUAAAAAUUUGGAUCUUCUCUGAAGAGCAGCAGGGCUGGUAGCUCUGGCCCUAUCUCCAGAGUGACCAUGGUCUGAAGGAGUGGAGGCCCACCCUCCAGACGUGUUCCCCAGGCCACUCGGUGGACGUUCAGCUGGACACAACUGCGUGCCAGGCCUGAUGGAGGUGCUGUUGGGGAGCUGGCGGGCCAUGUAUUAGUGUCACUUGUUUCUGUUCGGGCAUAGUCCUGCUGACUAGUGCCCUGCAGUAGUGCUUUCUGUGAUGACAGGGACGCUUUGCACCCCUUGGCCAAUCAUGUUCACUCACCAUGCGUUGGUAUUGAGUGAUUGAAGCAUGGCCAGUGUGACUGAGGAGCUGGAUUUUGUCACUGUAGUGCCACAUGCCACUUUAGCCACAUUAUGGGUUCAGUCUGCCCGCCAGGCCUGUUCUGGGUGCUGUGCGGCAUCACCCCCGGCUCUGGGGCCUUUGCGUCUUGCAAACUGAAUCCCGCCCCUGCCCCUCCAUUCCGCCCCGUCCAUGAGGUGGAAGGUAAGGGGACUCACACCCGCCCGUCCAGUCCUUCUGUGGGUGGCUUAUGUCACUUCAUUCCUGUUGCAGAAGGUGUCACUGUUUCCUCCCUUUUGAAGUCCUCCCAUUGGGCAGUGAAUUUUUAAUGUCAUUUCAAGUCCAUUAACAUAUUUAAAUCUCCGUGCAUUUGAAGGCCCAGGCUGGCUAGGGCUGCCUGUCCAACAGCGGGUUCCAGACGUCUGGCCUCAGCCCCCCUCCUCUGAGAAUCCAGUCUUCCCACCCAACAGGUGGCGCAGCCGAGUCACGUGACUUGAGGAGAGCCAGAAGCUUGGACGGGGUCCUCCUGGGUGCUCAGCUGGCCGUCCAGUGUGACCGCAGCAGGCUGCGCGGGGUGGGUGAUGCCAGGUUAGAUGGGGUGGGCGGCUGGCAGGACUCACACGGAUCUUCAUGCUGGGGGAAUGAUUGGACUUAAAAAAUAAUCAGCUGCCAGGUGAACCUCCCAUAGCAUGAGUCAGUCACUGGAAAGCGCCCCGUCCAUGGGCGGUCAGCAUAGGGACAGCUGCGUGCUACUGCCUGCUUUUGAAAUUACAAAAUAUUCCCAUCACCUGGGAAGGAAACCGUGUGGCCCCCGGCCAGUUCCAGCGACUGCCACCCUGCUGUCUGUGUCUGUGACCUGGCCUGGUGGCCACUCCUGUAGAUGGUGUCACCCUGCAUGUGGCCUGGGGCCUGGCUACCCUCCCUGAGGCUCUUCUUCAUGGGUGAGCCCUGCUCUGCGGGGUACCAGGGCCUGGGUCCUGUCUGAUGCAGUGAGCAGGUGCAGGGUCUUUGGCAGGGUCUUUCUGAGGUGGCAGUGUGUCGGAGGGAGCCCGUCCCUGGCUCCCAUUGCUGGUACACAUGAAGCCCUUUCAUCCCAGGGCAGGGCUGUCCCGACUCACCGGGUCACCUUGUGGUCAGAGGCCUGGGACUCGAGGGGGAGCCCCUCGUCCUUCAUCCCAUGGACAUAGGCGUCUCCUCCCAGACCACCAGUGAGGCUGGCUGUGGGGGCUGGUGGCCCAGGGCAGCUCAGUGUCUCUAGGUGGGCUGUCCCCGGGUGGGCUUGCUGGACGCCUUUGUCCCAGCCCUGCAGAGCAGAUGUUGCCAGAGGCAGGAGCCGCAGUGCUUCCCUGGGACAGAGCCCUGGCCACCCCAUGCUGGGCCCUGGGGAGGAGGGCGUGGGCUCCAAUAGCUGGGCCAGGAGAGGGACAUGGCACAAGCCUGGAGGCUGAGUUCCAGGCAGGGCCCUCAGCCUGCCCGCCUUUCCCUGGUGACGCGCUGCUGGCCUUCUUAGCUGGCCGGCUCCUCUGUCCCCACCUACAGCACCCGUGGCUCUUCCAGGCUUCUUGCUGGCGGAUGAGCGCAGGAUGCCUUCUGCGUUCCUGCGUGGCCUCCUCUGGCCCUUCACUUGUCCAUCCUGCCUGGGAAUUGGUGGCUCAGCCCCUGCCCACCCCUUUGUGAACUGCCUGGACUAUGUGUCACUGACGGGCACUGGUAGCCUGAGACAGGACACAGCCCACACAUGACCGUUGGAACAGGAGAGGGAACGUGCGGGUGCAGUCACCUUUCUUCUCUCCUCGGGGACCCAAGGCUUCUCUGUAGCAGGUCCUUUGAUGUGACAUGGAGGGGGCUCCGAGCUUUGAUCCUGACUCGCGGUUGGCUUUGUUUUGCUUUGUGUUUGGGUGGCAGGGGCCACCUCCUGACCCAGAGUGCCCCUGCUCUGCUGCCUGCUCGAUCACCUGUGAGGGAGGGAGAGCCUUUGAAUACUGGUGCCCGGGAAGAGUCUCUAUGGGUGUCACCCGGGUCCUUUUGCUCCCAUUAUGUUUUUGUUUUGUUCUGGUUUCGCAGUGCUGGGGACGAAACCCAGGGCCACGCGCGUGCGAGGCCAACGCUGUCCCACUGAGCCCCACCCCAGCUUCCCGGGCCCUUUUUGUCUUAUCUCUCAUGUAUUUAGAAUCCUUUUUAAUGCCUUGAUAAUUUUGGGUGAGCUAGAAAAUAAAGCCAAAAGGUGACGGAGACUCUUUUUAGCUAGUAGGUGCCACCACUUUAAAUUUGUCUUAAAAAUUAUUAAACUCACAGAACACAAGGGGGUUCUAAUACUAAUAAAAACUAAUAAUAGUUUUGGGGGGUCAUGGGUACCAGAGAUUGAACCCGAUUGAACCCAGGGCCUCUCGGCCACUGAGACACCUCCCCAGCCCUAGUGUGUAUUUUAUUUAGAGACAGGGCCUCACUGAGUUGCUUAGGCCCUUGCUUAGUUGCUGAGGCUGGCUUUGAACUCACGAUCCUCCUGCCUCAGCCUUCCGUGCAUCACCGUGCCUGGCCACAAGGAUCCAUUUUAAUGUGUGGCUCGGUGGUGUUCGGGGGACCUUGAGUGUUCUGGGCCCUCGCCUCGUCUAGUGUGUGAGCACUGUAGUCCUCACACAGGAGCCCUGGCCCCUACUGGUCACUCCCAGUCCCGCCUCCUGGCCCCAGGCAGCCCCCUGUUCUGGACAUUUCCUGUCAAUGGAGUCAGGGCGUCUGCGUGACUGUUUGUGCCUAGUUUCUGUCACUUAGCGCAGGUUUGAAGGCUUGUCCAGAUUGCAGUGUCCACAGUGCACCAUUCCUCUUGUGGCUGAGCCACACCCUGUGGCAUGGACAGAUGCUCUUGUUCAUUGGUCAUCUGCUGGUGGACACAGUGUCCACUGGGUGGCUGCCAUGAGUGCUGGGGCUGAGAACCCUCGUGCACUGUGUUUGAGCUCCUGCUUUUGUCCUGGGGUGACUUGGCUACUUUUGCAAAGCUCCACAUGUGACUCUUGUGGGCCGCCAACCUGCGGACCGCUGGCUCUCUGGUCCCUGAUUUUGGAGCCCCGGGAGGACUGUGUUCAGGCUGUGGCGUCGAGAGGUUGCUCGAGCUGCCUGACCGUGGAGUCCCCCAGCUGGGACACCCUGAAGAACCAUUCUGUUUGGUUCUUCUGUACUGGCCACUGUGUGAAGGGAGCCCCUUUGAACCCUGGGGGAACUGCAUAUCUCACACAACUGGCUUUCCUCAUGGUAGGCUGAGCCCCCGAGGCCAGGCCACACCAGUGCACCCCUGCUCCCUGCUCCUGCGUGGAGAGGGGCUCUCGGUCUACUUUCUGGAACAUCAGAGGCUGGUUGCCCUUAGGAGAGCUAGUUCAUCCACCCAACCGAGUGGGUGAGUUCGUCAUGUGACGAGCGCUGAUUGACACUCACCCUGUGCCAGUGUGCGUCAGUGCUGGGGAGAGGAAAGACAACACUGCUGUCAAUGAGCGCUCUGUCUACUGGGGCGACAUUUAGGCUCUCAGACUGAGGGGUGGUUUCCAGAGGGAUGUCAGGAAAUGUCAGUUCCAAUGACAGACACCCAAGUCGAACUGGCAUGACUCGAAGAAAACGUCUUUUGGUUUAUGUAACUUAUGCAAAGUCCUCCUAGGCUUCAGGUGCGGCUGGAUCCAGUGCUCCAUGGCUACUGUCAGGACUCAGUUUCCCUCCUUGGGUCUCAAGGCUAGUUUCUUCUUAGACAUGCUCUUCUUCAAAGACAGCAGAUAGACAGACUCACCCUUCCAGCAGAGCAGCUGCAGCAGGAACAACAAAACAACAAAACAUAUCUUUCCUGAUGACUCCAGAAAACAAGAAAAAUACCAGUUCUGACUCUCACUGGCUGGGAUUGGGUCAUGUGACCAUCCUUGACUUGAUCGUGGUAUGUGAUUGGCCAGGCCUGGUCAUGUGCCUUCUCCUGGAGCCAGGCGUCAGGGAGAUCCAUGCGGCUGUACCUCUUGGGUGGAGAGUGGAGGGAACUCCCCGGGGGGCAGGUGGGGAGAGGAGGCUUGGAGGGAGCUCUGCCAUGGCUUUUCCCAUAAGAACACCUAUCCUGCCAGAUCAAGGACCCACACGAGACUUAACCUGUCACCUCCGCGGAGGCCCCAUCUCCACAGACUCUCCCACCGGGGCUUCGACACCAACCUUUCCCAUGACGUGCCUGCCUCCCUUCAGCGCCUCCCUUUCCGCCUCCGCCCCGGGCCUCCCCAUCUUUGCCCAGCCACGUACUGGUUCUUUGCCCUGCAGCGCAAAUUGUUGAAGGUGUUUGAAGAAAGGUUGCCGGUAACAGGCCAUUGAUUGACUCCUGAGAAGGAGUCACGGAUUCCCCUUCUGGGUUGGAAUGGGGGGGCACAGGGACCCUCCUCCUGCCCCUGGCUGUGGGAUCCACAGAUGCUUCACCGCCUGUGUGGUGCAACUGGGGCCCGGCCCGGCCGCUGGCUGCCAUUCUGGCACUUGCUGGAGCCCUGAGCUCACAGAUGCUUCCCCCUGAUGCCGGCUUGUAAUGAAGAUGCAACUUGCCACUCUGACACGAUGGAGCCCUAAGUUCAUCGGAAGAGUUCUUCAUCUGCAUUGUGUAAUUAGCGACAUAUGAUGCUUGUAUCAGCUCAAUUAAAAGUCAUGGUGAUUAAUAUGGA